CAGGCUGUAGUGCAGCGGGCUAAGCGCAGGUGGCGCAAAGCACAAGGACCGGCAUAAGGAUCCCGGUUCGAACCCCGGCUCCCCACCUGCAGGGGAGUCGCUUCACAGGCGGUGAAGCAGGUCUGCAGGUGUCUUUCUCUCCUCCUCUCUGUCUUCCCCUCCUCUCUGCAUUUCUCUCUGUCCUAUCCAACAAUGAAUAGCAUCAACAAUGGCAAUAAUAAUAACCACAACGAGGCUACAACAACAAGGGCAACAAAAGGGGGGGAAA